rnacentral:rRNA from 1 species
UACGUAGGGUCCGAGCGUUUGUCCGGAAUUACUGGGCGUAAAGAGCUCGUAGGUGGUUUGUCGCGUUGUUCGUGAAAACUCACAGCUCAACUGUGGGCGUGCGGGCGAUACGGGCAGACUAGAGUACUGCAGGGGAGACUGGAAUUCCUGGUGUAGCGGUGGAAUGCGCAGAUAUCAGGAGGAACACCGGUGGCGAAGGCGGGUCUCUGGGCAGUAACUGACGCUGAGGAGCGAAAAGCGUGGGGGAGCGAAACAGG